AUGAAGACUACUGCCUUCGAUGGCAGCUGCAGGACCAAACGCCAACCGAAGAAUUCGACGAAGAUGUUCUUAUUUGUUUUCAAGCAGAAGGUUGGGUCUCUAGUUUUUGGAAAAGAUCACAAGGUUAGCAUACCAAAGAAGAUGUUCAGGUUAUGUAUUCGUGACGAGUAUGGCAUGAGGGCGUUGGCUAAACCUACAGUUGUACUUAAGUCAACGGCACUGUACCACGAAAUACAGCUUCGUGAGGGCAGAUGGAGGCUUGUCGCGUUCAUUGACGACCACAUGAUCCAUACAUGGCCGAUUUAUAGGGAAAAAUACGGACCAAUUGGAAAAGCAUCCUGCACAAUAAACAAUGCGCUUAGAAAAUACAGCGAGCGUCGACUUGAAGCUGGUUUGUUUUAUUUGGUCAGGGACAAGAAACGUUACUUGUCAUUUACAACUAGGAGUCACCUCUACGGUGAUGAAUUCUUGAAGGACCUAUGGAGAAAGAAAAGACUGGAGCGAACCAUGCAAAAACAUAAUCAAGAGUUAUUAACGUGUUCUGCAAGUGUCUCCGAAACCAACAUACCUGAAGACAGAAACCUUUUCUCCAUACUCAUCAGGACAUUGAGAUUGUGUGGCAUGAGACAUGUGUUUUACUUGUUGCUUGUUAUCUCCGUAGCUUUGGCGAUUGUAUAUCUGUGA
rnacentral:rRNA from 1 species